AGACUCUGUGGGGGCGAUCUGGCUGCGGCAUCUGUCACCCCAUUGAUUACCAGGGUUGAUUCCACUGCUGUGGCCAGCUCAGCGCUGUUCCCUUCCCGCCUCACUGUUCCAUGUGCCUCCUUCCCAAAAUUGUGUGCUCAGCCAAAGAAAAUGACCUUCCCAAACAGAGAAGGACCAUUCUUCAGUCCGGGGUGUCCAAGCAGCCACAAUCCCCUGCUAGAAUCUCCAAAGAAGCUCUCGAGGUCCAUCCAUGGUGCCACUGAAAUCAGACCUCUGUUGCCUUUGAGGGUUUAAUACGAUUCCAUCGUAUGGAUUACAUCACAUUUU
rnacentral:snRNA from 1 species